GUUGGUUAUGGUGAUAAAGUACCAAAAGGACCAUUAGGAAAAGUUGUUGGUAGUGUAUGUGCUGUAGCUGGUGUAUUAACAUUAGCUAUUCCAGUACCAAUUAUUACAGAAAAU
rfam:Schistosoma rodhaini strain Burundi genome assembly, scaffold: SROB_scaffold0009028